UACGAAGGGGGCUAGCGUUGCUCGGAAUCACUGGGCGUAAAGCGCACGUAGGCGGAUUUCUAAGUCAGGGGUGAAAUCCUGGAGCUCAACUCCAGAACUGCCUUUGAUACUGGGAAUCUCGAGUCCGGGAGAGGUGAGUGGAACUGCGAGUGUAGAGGUGAAAUUCGUAGAUAUUCGCAAGAACACCAGUGGCGAAGGCGGCUCACUGGCCCGUAACUGACGCUGAGGCACGAAAGCGUGGGGAGCAAACAGGG
rnacentral:rRNA from 1 species